rnacentral:rRNA from 1 species
AGUGCGGUAGGGGAGACUGGAAUUCCUGGUGUAGCGGUGGAAUGCGCAGAUAUCAGGAGGAACACCGAUGGCGAAGGCAGGUCUCUGGGCCGCAACUGACGCUGAGGAGCGAAAGCAUGGGGAGCGAACAGGAUUAGAUACCCUGGUAGUCCAUGCCGUAAACGUUGGGCACUAGGUGUGGGGCUCAUUCCACGAGUUCCGUGCCGCAGCAAACGCAUUAAGUGCCCCGCCUGGGGAGUACGGCCGCAAGGCUAAAACUCAAAGGAAUUGACGGGGGCCCGCACAAGCGGCGGAGCAUGCGGAUUAAUUCGAUGCAACGCGAAGAACCUUACCAAGGCUUGACAUGCACGAGAAGCCACCAGAGAUGGUGGUCUCUUUGGACACUCGUGCACAGGUGGUGCAUGGUUGUCGUCAGCUCGUGUCGUGAGAUGUUGGGUUAAGUCCCGCAACGAGCGCAACCCUCGUCCCAUGUUGCCAGCGGGUUAUGCCGGGGACUCAUGGGAGACUGCCGGGGUCAACUCGGAGGAAGGUGGGGAUGACGUCAAAUCAUCAUGCCCCUUAUGUCUUGGGCUUCACGCAUGCUACAA